rnacentral:rRNA from 1 species
AACGAACGCUGGCGGCAGGCCUAACACAUGCAAGUCGAACGCCCCGCAAGGGGAGUGGCAGACGGGUGAGUAACACGUGGGAACGUGCCCAAAGGUACGGAACAACUCCGGGAAACUGGAGCUAAUACCGUAUGUGCCCGAAAGGGGAAAGAUUCAUCGCCUUUGGAUCGGCCCGCGUCUGAUUAGCUAGUUGGCGGGGUAAUGGCCCACCAAGGCGACGAUCAGUAGCUGGUCUGAGAGGAUGACCAGCCACACUGGGACUGAGACACGGCCCAGACUCCUACGGGAGGCAGCAGUGGGGAAUAUUGGGACAAUGGGCGCAAGCCUGAUCCAGCCAUGCCGCGUGAGUGAUGAAGGCCUUAGGGUUGUAAAGCUCUUUCGCCAGGGACGAUAAUGACGGUACCUGGGAUAAGAAGCCCCCGGGCUAACUUCGUGCCAGCCGCCGCAGUAAC